rnacentral:rRNA from 1 species
GGUUGAUUCUGCCUGACGUAUGCGCUUGUCUUGAAGAUUUAGCCAUGCAAGUUUGCAAAGCAUUUUGUGGAGCAACAGACAGCUCAGUAAUACAGUUAUAAUUAACUCGUGGUACAUAAUACGGAUAACCUUGGUAAACUAAGGCUAAUACGUGUUUGGGUUAAAUUUGGUGAGUCAACAGUAAUUGAGAGAAAUUCAACCGCGAUUAAGUUUCUGCCCUAUUAGCUUCGAUGGUAGGGUAAAGGCCUACCAUAGCGAUAACGGGUAACGGAAAAUCAGUGUUUGAUUCCGGAGAGGGAGCCUGAGAAAUAGCUCCCAUGUCCAAGGACGGCAGCAGGCGCGAAAAUUACCCAAUUCCUUAACGGGAGAGGUAGUGAAGAGACAUGAAGUUCUACUUAGAGACUGUACAAUAAAUUAGUAUAGGAUCUACUGGAGGGCAAGUCUGGUGCCAGCAGCCGCGGUAAUUCCAGCUCCAGUAGCGCAUAUGAUAGUUGCUGCAGUUAAAACGUCCGUAGUUGAUCACAAGAAAUACUUCAAGUCAAAUUGAAAUAUAUCUCGGUACUGUGAGUAAAAUAUAAUUCUCAAAGUAAUUUUUUGAAUAAUUUAGCAUGGUACAUAGUGAAUAUAGGAACAGAUGAUGGCAAUAGUAUUCAGUAGUUAGAGGUGAAAAUCGUUGACCUACUGAGGACUGUCUGAAGCGAAAGCGAUUGUCAAGUAUGUCUCCGUUAAUAAAGGACUUAAGCUAGAGUAUCGAAGAUGAUUAGAUACCGUCGUAGUUCUAGCUGUAAACGAUGCCAACUAGGUGAGGCCGAAAGGCUGCGCCUUAGGAGAAAUCAAAGUCUACGGGCUCUGGGGAUAGUAUUUUUGCAAGAUUGAAACUUAAAGAAAUUGACGGAAGAAUACCACAAGGAGUGGAGUGUGCGGCUUAAUUUGACCCAACGCGGGACAACUUACCAGGGCCGAUCUUAUGUGAGAUUGGCGAUUUGAGAAAAUCCCCAAGAUUAUAAGGGAGGUGGUGCAUGGCCGUUUUCAACACGUGGGGUGACCUGUCUGGUUAAUUCCGUAAACGCGUGAGGCCUAGAAACGAUAUUUUUAUAUUGUUUGACGGAUAGCGGCAAGCUAUAGGAAGUAAGGCUAUAACAGGUCGGUGAUGCCCCUAGAAGUUCUGGGCUGCACGCGCACUACAAUGGUACGAUGAACUUAUGUGCUGAGAAGUAUUUUUUAAUUCGUACCGAAGCUGGGAUAAUCUCUUGUAAAUGAGAUUUGAACGCGGAAUUCCUAGUAAUCGCAAGUCAUUAUGUUGCGAUGAAUGCGUCCCUGUUCUUUGUACACACCGCCCGUCAAUAUCUAAGAUGGAUGUAUU